UACGUAGGCAGCGAGCGUUGUUCGGAAUUACUGGGCGUAAAGCGUGCGCAGGCGGUUUUGCAAGCCGGAUGUGAAAUCCCCGGGCUUAACCUGGGAAUGGCAUUUGGGACUGCAAGGCUGGAGUGCGGCAGAGGAGACUGGAAUUCCUGGUGUAGCAGUGAAAUGCGUAGAUAUCAGGAGGAACACCGAUGGCGAAGGCAGGUCUCUGGGCUGACACUGACGCUCAUGCACGAAAGCGUGGGGAGCGAUCCGG
rnacentral:rRNA from 1 species